GCCCGGGUAGCUCAAUUGGCUAGAGCGUCGGACUUUUAAUCCAUUUAAACUAUCAGGAAAGAAGUCCAUCCGAAGGUUGGGGGUUCGAGACCCCCCUCGGGCG
rnacentral:tRNA from 1 species